CCGGGUUCGAUUCCCACCUUCGCAUUGUUUUUUUAUUUUUUACGAAAAAUAAAUGAGAUGACAUGGCAAUUUCGGGUUCUCUGAUUGGUUGAUUUUUCUAUCCUAUGUGGACACCCUCUCCAUGGCUUAUAUCUCCCUUUUAGUAUAGUAUAGAUAUAUAAUAAAUUAUUAUUUAAAUAAAAAAUAAAUUUUUUUUUUAUGUUUUCGAAUUAUACUUUUUCAAAUUCAAACUUUUUUAUAACUUUUUUUUGAAUAUUUUUCGAUUUUUUCUCAAAAAAUUUUUUGAAAUCAAAAAUUAUGUUUGAAACUAUUUUUUAUAUUUUUAAGUAUUUAUUAGAAUUCUAAAUUUUAUAUUCCAAAAACCCUACCCCACCU
rnacentral:lncRNA from 1 species